CCUUGGAGUAAAGUAGCAGCACAUAAUGGUUUGUGGAUGUUGAAAAGGUGCAGGCCAUACUGUGCUGCCUCAAAAUACAAGG
ncrna:Mus musculus (house mouse) microRNA mmu-mir-15a precursor